UUUUUUUGGUGUAUCGUUUAUAUUUUACUCGAGGCUAAAAACCUUCCUUAUGAGAGAUAUUGUGUUUCCAAGGAUUCGUGUUCAAACAUGUUUCGUCUUGUCAAAUUGUCGAGCGUAUCCCCCCCCCCCCCCAUCUUGUUAUUCGAUGCGCGAAAUGGAAGCGCAAAGUGACAUCGUUCGACUUGAUUCGUCGUGACGAUUAAACGUUUGAAAUUUUUUCGAGACGUGUAUUCUAUUUAAUGCAUUUUAGUAUUUUAAUAUUAUUUUUUUUAUAGCUACUUUUGUUAUCAUUUGUGCGUUUUUAUUUAAUCAAUAUAUCUUUAUUCAAUGUUUUAUUGAGCAUUAUUAGAAUUGAUAAUUUUUUGACAAUAAAAUAAUUUUGAAUUCUUCGUUUGUAAUAUAAUUCGAGUGUCGAAUUACAAGAUGGCUUAUUAUAUAUCAUUUAAUUGGUAGCGUCAUAGUACCUAUCUCGAAGGCGGGAAAAAUUCCAAUAUGGACGCCAUAUCUUUCUUGGUGACUUUCUUUCGUGGUAAAAUUUUACAUUUCUUAAAUAUAAAUUUUUAUUCUGUUUUAUUGGAUUAUUAGUGAUAGUUGUUAAGCAAUUGCUAAUAAAAUUAUAUUUUAUUUAA